CACUAUUUUAGAGUGGUCCGUAGAGGGGGUCCGUAGGGGUAGUCCAUGGACCGGUCCGUAGGGUAGUCCACGGACCCUGGUCCGUUGUGGGGGUCCGCGAACCGGGGUCAGUGUUUUCCGGUUACCCCUUGCUGGGCUAACUCUUUUACACUUCAUCCUCUCUUAUGCACUUUUUAUGUAAGCUUGGUUAGGAUGAUGAUUAAUCCACGGUUCAGAAGUCCAUUCCAGAUUGUAUCGGCUGGAGUGCGCUAAGCCUUCUGGGACAUUCUUGAGGUUGAUUCAUGCUUAGGUUGCAACUUGAGUUGGGAUGAAUGGUACCUCGUUGUAGACACCAUUUUCCUUUCUAAAGGAGCGAAAUUCAGGAACAAUCAAGUUAUUUUUCUGCGUGGUCCCAGACCGUGGGAUUUCGAGUCAAGAUGUGAUGUUUCAUCGACUUAUUCUUAUUUCAGGUCUCAAGGUGUGGAUGUCCAAGUCAGGAUGUGAAUAUUAACAUGUUGCCACUAAUUUCUGCAGACACAGAGAGGGACACUAAAGUACUCACAAUCAGGUUUCUUGGGGAGGAUGGUAAGGUACUGUAUGGAGAUUCAUGUAAACCUAUCUGAAGUGUACUUUGGAUUAAGAUGGCAGCUGCUGCACCUUCACCCUUGGCCAG